rnacentral:tRNA from 1 species
GCGCUCGUAGCUCAGCUGGAUAGAGCAACGGCCUUCUAAGCCGUAGGUCGUAGGUUCGAGUCCUACCGGGCGCGCCA